rnacentral:rRNA from 1 species
AUUCCAGCUCCAAUAGCGUAUAUUAAAGUUGUUGCAGUUAAAAAGCUCGUAGUCGGAUUUUGGCAUCACGCCGAACUGUCUGCCGAUUGGUAAGUACGGUUUGGCGGGUGCUUCCUUCCGGAGGCUCGUUCCCUUCUUCAUUGAAGGGUUCGUUGGUUCCGGGUCUUUUACUUUGAGAAAAUUAGAGUGUUCAAAGCAGGCCUAUGCUCUGAAUAGGUUAGCAUGGAAUAAUAGAAGAGGACUUUGGUUCUAUUUUGUUGGUUUCUAGGACCGAAGUAAUGAUUAACAGGGACAGUCAGGGGCACUCGUAUUCCGCCGAGAGAGGUGAAAUUCUCAGACCAGCGGAAGACGAACCACUGCGAAAGCAUUUGCCAGGGAUGUUUUCAUUG